rnacentral:misc_RNA from 1 species
UUGAAUGAAGCUUCUGGCUGGAUGCUGUUGUGCUGGCCCUUUGGGGCAAUGUGCACACACCCCUCUGGUCAUUUGUUUCUUCUGUUCCACCUGUGCACUGCCUGUAGACACUCUGUGUCUAUGAUAUAUAUGUCACACACACAUACAGUUGUUAAGGAAUAUCACAUAUUUAUGUAUAAAAAUA